rnacentral:tRNA from 1 species
GGCCUGAUGGUCUAGAGGCAUGAUUCUCUCUUAGGGUUAAACAUCGUUUGGGAGAGGUCCCGGGUUCAAUCCCCGGUUAGGCCC